rnacentral:rRNA from 1 species
AAUAGAUACCCCGGUAGUCCACGCCCUAAACGAUGUCUACUAGUUGUUGGUGGAGUAAAAUCCAUUAGUGACGCAGCUAACGCGUGAAGUAGACCGCCUGGGGAGUACGGUCGCAAGAUUAAAACUCAAAGGAAUUGACGGGGGGCCCGCACGAAGCGGUGGAUUAUGUGGAUUAAUUCGAUGCAACGCGAAAAACCUUACCUGGCCUUGACAUGCCACUAACGAAGCAGAGAUGCAUUAGGUGCCCGAAAGGGAAAGUGGACACAGGUGCUGCAUGGCUGUCGUCAGCUCGUGUCGUGAGAUGUUGGGUUAAGUCCCGNAACGAGCGCAACCCUUGCCAAUAAUUGCCAUCAUUCAGUUGGGCACUUUAUUGGGACUGCCGGUGACAAACCGGAGGAAGGUGGGGAUGACGUCAAGUCCUCAUGGCCCUUAUGGCCAGGGCUUCACACGUAAUCAAUGGUCGGUACAGAGGGUAGCCAAGCCGCGAGGUGGAGCCAAUCCCAGAAAGCCGAUCGUAGUCCGGAUUGCAGU